rfam:Ovis aries breed Texel chromosome 3, whole genome shotgun sequence.
GCCCUCUUAGCACAUUAGGCAGCGCGUCAGUCUCAUAAUCUGAAGGUCCUGAGUUCGUGCCUCAGAGAGGGCA